GUAGUAUCAGCUCACUAUAAUCUAUGAGCUUCUAUGAUAACACGUGUUUAUUGGAUGUCAAAUUUUUUUCUGAGAAAAAAUGAAACAUUUAGACUCGGUAAAGUGAUUUGGUAGGUAUCUAUUGCGAACUGAACGAAAUGGAAUUAUUCAUUAGAUUUGUGUUAGCAUUGUUAUCUGUGAUUUUCAUGCUUUCAAGAGGACAUGGUAGCGGGAACGCUGAGGAUUCGUCAUUUUCAUCUGCAGAGUAUCGUUAUAUGUUAAAUCGGAGUCUGUUCAAAAAUUAUUUCAAAUAUAUGAAACGUGUUGACCAAAUUACAGGAUUUAUUUGUUCCUGCGCGCUUAUCAGACAGACGAUCAAUGUGCAUUACCAAAUAGCUUCGAAUUUUGAUCUCCGUCGUGCUGGUCGUUGUUUGGAUGCAUUUGAGUACUACGUUGAAAAUCAUAAAAAUCCAACAUGUUUUAAUCUUCGAGGACGGGAUGCUGAUAUGCCCGGACUAUUGCAAUUUACGGAGUAUCCACGGUUCGCUUCAGCUCUUUGCGGUUCCUAUGACAAAUGCUCUAAACAUAUACAUUCCGACUCCAAAACUGUGCAAGUUCUUAAACAGUUGAAAGAUGGAACACCAUUGACAAUCACUGAAAUAUUUCGAAAGCUAGGGUUUGUAAUCACCGUUGAUGACAUGAGAUAUGUUAACAUAUUUCUAAAUGCUUCUGGAAUUGCACCGUUCCCAUUUCUAAAGUUUGUUAAAUUUGACAAAGAAUAUGCGAUUCCACAAGUACGAAAUUUUUCUGAUCGGUUGCAAUGUCCGAAGUACUUCAAGCGGCCUAAUUUUACAGUAUGCAUGUCCGGAUUCUGGGCAAACUUAUGAAAGUUAGAAAUCGAGGUACCUAGCUACCUACAUAGUUUUGAAUUUUUCAUCUGGACUCGGAUGAUCGGGAGGGAGGGAGGGGGGGGGGUGCAAUUAAUCCAUGUAUGCCAUAUGCCGGACUAUAAGUGUAAAAAUUCUUAUUCUCAUUUUUGGAUUUUUGGAGGUCUCAAAUAUGAUUUUCAACAUUUUAAAACAAACAACGAAUUGAUGGCAAAAUUUUUUGAAAAAUCGUACGUAUUACGAGAAGCAUAAGAACGACGUUUCUUAUGGGAGUUUAUUUUUCGGAUUCUAAAAUUUUAGAAUUUGAAUGAUGUUUUGAGUAUUUAUUUUUUAGGAAGUACCUUUCUUCAAAUAAAAAUCUUUUACG